CUGUAAGUUUUCAAAUUGCAGAUACUGCAAACUUAAGCACAAUACGCUUUUGCAUUUAGAAGCUAGUGAACCCAAACCACUUUCUAAUCCUCUGCCUUCUGCACUUCUUUCUGUAUCGCCAACUACUUCAGAUGUUGCGCUUUCAGCUAAUUCUAUGCAGCUUGCUACUUCUUCGCAUGUUUUCCUAUCCACAGCUUUGGCGAAAGUGACCAGUGCGACGGGUAAGAAGUUUACUGCGCGCCUACUGCUGGACAACGGCAGUACGGCCAACUUUAUCACGCAGAGUUUAGCGGAGCAACUGGGUUUGUCACAACGCGGUGACUGAUGCCAACAUCACGAGCCUGGAUCGCUGGAAGAGGAUCCAGUACAUCAGACAGCACUUCUGGGGACGCUUCCAUAAUGAGUACACUUCUCUGCUGCAGGCCAAGUCAAAGUGGUUAAAUUCCAGAGGCGAAGUGACACCAGGGUCCUUAGUCCUGAUCAAGGACAAGACGACGCCACCGCUGCUCUGGUCCCUGGGUCGGGUCACUAAGACCUAUCCCGGCGUCGACGGAGUCACGCGGGUGGCUGAGCUAAAGACGAGGAGGGGCACCAUUCGUCGUGCCUUCAACUGCAUCUGCCCGCUCACUAUCGGAGACUUUUGAAGAGCAUCCUUCAACCCGGGGAGUAUGUCGGCGCACCUCAGCGAGCAACCGCGAUGGCGACCGAAGGGAGUGCUGCGGAGGCCGGGGCGGGGGCUGCCCCGGCUGGCGAGCCCGCGGCCGCGCUCCCUUCACUUCUCCCUGCGACGCGCUUGACCACGGGCACUUACUUGUUUUCUUGUUUAUCUUGUAAUUUUAACGGCAUUAAAAGCCUAUGUAAUACAGUC
rnacentral:misc_RNA from 1 species